rnacentral:rRNA from 1 species
ACGGGUGAGUAAUGUCUGGGAAACUGCCCGAUGGAGGGGGAUAACUACUGGAAACGGUAGCUAAUACCGCAUAACGUCGCAAGACCAAAGAGGGGGACCUUCGGGCCUCUUGCCAUCGGAUGUGCCCAGAUGGGAUUAGCUAGUUGGUGAGGUAAUGGCUCACCAAGGCGACGAUCCCUAGCUGGUCUGAGAGGAUGACCAGCCACACUGGAACUGAGACACGGUCCAGACUCCUACGGGAGGCAGCAGUGGGGAAUAUUGCACAAUGGGCGCAAGCCUGAUGCAGCCAUGCCGCGUGUGUGAAGAAGGCCUUCGGGUUGUAAAGCACUUUCAGCGGGGAGGAAGGCAAUACGGUUAAUAACCGUGUUGAUUGACGUUACCCGCAGAAGAAGCACCGGCUAACUCCGUGCCAGCAGCCGCGGUAAUACGGAGGGUGCAAGCGUUAAUCGGAAUUACUGGGCGUAAAGCGCACGCAGGCGGUCUGUCAAGUCGGAUGUGAAAUCCCCGGGCUCAACCUGGGAACUGCAUUCGAAACUGGCAGGCUUGAGUCUUGUAGAGGGGGGUAGAAUUCCAGGUGUA